GCAAAUCAAUAUAAGUUGAUUAAGUAAAUCUUAUUAAUUUAUUAGGUUAAUUACAUAAUUUAUUAAAAAUAAUUAUUUUGUUGAUUGUUUUAGUAAUUUUUAAUGAAAAAAUAAAUUUAAUAAUAGUUAAUUUGUACCGUGAGGGUAGGUUGAAAUAGGUUGAAAAUUUAUUAUUUAAUAAGAAAUUUUUGUUUAGUGUACCUUGUGUAUCAGGGUUUAUUAAAUAAUGGAUAGUAAAAUUAUAAAUCUCGAUUUUAUAAGAGUUAAUGAUUUAUUUAAGUUAAUGUGUUAUAAUUAUUUAUAAUAAAUUAUUAGAAAUGAAAUGUUAUUCGUUUAUGAAGGUAUCUAGUUUUUUUAGAAAUAAAUUUAAUUUAUGUGAUUUUAAUUUUAUUAACUAAUUAUAUUAGUAUAAAAAUUUAAGAUUUCAAAUUUUAUAAGGGAUAAGCUUUAUAAAAAAUUUUUAAAAAUAAUUGAUAAUGUAUGAAGUGUAUAUGUAGAAUUAGUAAUCACUGGUGAUAUUGUUAUAAAUUAUUAUAUAAUUAGGAUUAUUUAAUUUAUUUUAAUUAUUUAUAAAAAUGUUCUUUUUAAUUAAUUAGGGGAUUAAUAAUGAUAAAAUUAGUAUAUGUUUAUUGUAGUAAUAUGAGUAAAGUGACAAGUUUAUAAAAAGAAUUCGGCAAAUAUUUAUACUCGCCUGUUUAACAAAAACAUGUCUUUUUGAGGUUAAUAUAAAGUCUAACCUGCCCAAUGAGUAGUUGAAUGGCCGCAGUAUUUUGACUGUGCAAAGGUAGCAUAAUCAAUAGUCUUUUAAUUGGAGGCUGGAAUGAAUGGUUGGACGAGGUAUGAGCUGUUUCUUGAAAAUUUAUGUUAGAAUUUUAUAUUUUAGUAAAAAAGCUAAAAUGUAGUUAAAAGACGAGAAGACCCUAUAAAUCUUUAUAAUUAAUUGUACUUGAAUUUUUUGGAUUAAGUUUAUUCUUUAUUAAUUUAAUUAUUUUAUUGGGGUGAUAUUAAAAUUUAAUAAACUUUUUUAUUAUAAAUCAUUAAUUUAUGAUUAAUUGAUCCAUUAUUAGUGAUUAUAAGAUAAAGUUACUUUAGGGAUAACAGCGUAAUUUUUUUGGAGAGUUCUUAUCGAUAAAAAAGGUUGCGACCUCGAUGUUGGAUUAAGGUAUAAGAUUAGGUGUAGCUGUUUAAAUCUUAAGUCUGUUCGACUUU
rnacentral:rRNA from 1 species